rnacentral:rRNA from 1 species
CCUACGGGUGGCAGCAGUGAGGAAUAUUGGUCAAUGGGCGCGAGCCUGAACCAGCCAAGUAGCGUGAAGGAUGACUGCCCUACGGGUUGUAAACUUCUUUUAUGAAGGAAUAAAGUGCGGCACGUGUGCCUUUUUGUAUGUACUUUAUGAAUAAGGAUCGGCUAACUCCGUGCCAGCAGCCGCGGUAAUACGGAGGAUCCGAGCGUUAUCCGGAUUUAUUGGGUUUAAAGGGAGCGUAGAUGGGUUGUUAAGUCAGUUGUGAAAGUUUGUGGCUCAACCAUAAAAUUGCAAUUGAUACUGGCAGGCUUGAGUACAGGUGAGGUAGGCGGAAUUCGUGGUGUAGCGGUGAAAUGCUUAGAUAUCACGAAGAACUCCGAUUGCGAAGGCAGCUUACUAAACUGCUACUGACAUUGAUGCUCGAAAGUGUGGGUAUCAAACAGGAUUAGAUACCCGGGUAGUC